AAAACCAGGUAAUUUAUAAGAAAAGGAAUUUACUUCUUACACUUAUGGAAGCUGAGAAGUCCAAGGUUGAGGGGGCACAGCUGGUAAGAGCCAUCGUGCUGGUGGGGAUUCUCUCUGCGGGUACCUGAGGCAGCUCAGGUCAUCACAUGGCAAGGGGGCGACCCUGCUAACGUGCCAGCUCAGGUCUCCCUUCCUCUUCUUAUCGAGCCACCAGUGCCCUCCCAUGGCAACCCAUUAAUCCCUGAAUCCAUGAAUGGGUUAAUCCAUUCCCAAGGGCAGAGCCCUCAGGAUCCAAUCAUCUCUUCAAGGCUUCCCACCUUUCAACACGGCCACACUGGGCGUCAUUUCAACAGUUUUGGAGGAGACAUGCAAACCAUAGCAACAGCCAACUCCAAUCUUACUUGAUUUGUAUAAUGAAAAGAAAAAAUAAAACAGAGAAAAAGCAACCGCCAACCCUGAUAAAUUGAGGUUUGACCUGAAUCACAGCCUCUUAACCCCUGGCCAGACUUAAGGCAGGUCAGAGCCCCAAGGGCCCUUGUAGGAACGGGGUUCUGGGCUCCCUUGAGUGAAGACGUUGCCACACCACCAGGGAUCUGUCCCUUCCCCAAAGGGACCCUGCAGAAGCCAUUUUCCAAGUCACUGCACUGUGGGAAGACACAUUCCAUGGGUCUUCUGGCAAUUUCUAGACAGUGGCUCUGAAUCAAUGCUGACUCCUGGAGGCCCACAGGCAGGAACUCUUGGGGGCCAGACGGAGAACCGGGUCUGGGUUCCACCCUCCUCACAGUGGCGUGUGCUUGGCUGAGUCAUUCCUUCAGAUGCAGAAUGUGGGCUUCAUGUGAGUGACCAGCAAUGGGCAGACCCUUGCGCUGGUCUCUUGACUUGCAGAGUGGGGGCCAUGAUGGUAGGAAAGGCCAGGGAGGGUCAGAACCGCCUCUUCCUGCCAGACAGGAAUGCAGUCACAGCGCCAUCCUGGAGGACUGUGAAGACAGGCGCCAUGGUGGGAAACGCCGGCCUCAAAGCUUGUAAGCUGCCCUGGAAGAGCCUUCGCCACGUGCUAAAUGGACAUCAGGAGGCCUCUCCCUGAGCCUGGAAGACAGGUGUACCUGCCUGUUAAAAGCCUGGUCUCAGCUGAAUUUCCAAACCGGGUGUAACUUACUGAUAUCUGACGUUUCCACUUCACAGGGCUCUGACCUGGCUGGGCUCAGAGCUGUGCUUCAAUUGGCCUCAACAUUGUGGCCUCUAUUUAGAAAGCACGUUGAUGUCUGGGAAACACUGGCAACUCUGCCCAGUGUGUCACGUGGCACAUUCAACUACUUACAGAUGGAAAAUUGUGAUUCUCCCACCAGCAGAGCCACCUCCGAGCUGCUGGAAGGUAGGGAAGGUUGUGAUUCUCCACCAGGUCUCUCUUAGCUGCCGGAGGUGGUGGCCCCAUGGGAUUCUGGGUGACAGCCAUCGUUGGGGCAAAAGCAUCCAAUUCUGGGUCCUCCAGCCCAUGGCCUUCUAAACACAGCAGAUUCGGGAUGGGUGGUGACCACUUAGGCGGUGACCUCCUGAGCCCGGACAGGAGUUCCCGGGAAAAGGACUUUGUUUUGUUGACUGAUGCAGCCCCAGAGCCAGAACAUGUGGGGCUCUCAGUGGCCCCCACAGGGAAGGUGAUGAAUGAAUGUUCUAAGUCCACUUUCUUCUGUGCUUAGGAGCAAUUUGCUGGGAGAGCUUGAGCAACGUGAUAUUUCUUUAGCACAGAAAGUGAGUUCUGCUCAAAAGCAGCAUCAUCCUGUUGGCCAGUCCUUGCAGGGGACAUCCAUGCAGAAGAAGCCACUUUCGGGCCCGGGUGUCACAGCUGAUGGUAGAAAGUGGGUGAGCACCCUGGACUUGGGGCUGAGCCUGUGGGAGGAGCUGGGGGAACAGUCCCCCUAAUCCUGGCAUACUGGAACUAAAGAUCCCUCCUGGAGCAUAAAAUAGGUAAACUGAGGACAAGUCAACAGAAAUAAAACUGCACAUGCGUGCUUUAAAGCUCACAGGCCUCAGGAAAUGCUGCUGACAUCAACAGUCAUGCAACUCUGAAGAGUUAUAGAAAACAUUCCGGGUCAGAGAUACUCAGUGAGACGUUACGGCCAACAAGGGAUGCUUUGAGGUUGAUCACAGAGGACGAGCUUGCCCUACUGCAGGGCUCAGGGGACCAUGGCAGGCUUCGGCGGUUCCCCUCCCGAGGGGCUCAGUACAACUCAGCCAUGGUCUCCUCUGCAGGACCCGUACCCCUGGAUGCUGCCUGUCCCAUGACAAGUCACGUGCUGACUACAGGGGCCUUCAUCUCCCUCCGCCCCCAACUCCAGCGGAAGCUGCUGGAAGUCCUGGCAUUCACUGCCAUGCCUUGCCCCAGAUGGAGCCUGGUGUUCCUGCGUGGAUUUCAAGAGGCCCCGUGGAGGGAGACGUGGAUUCCCCUGGCUGCUACCCAAGCCUUUCUGCCAGAUCAAGAAUGAAAAGUCACUUUUUAAGUCAGUGCUUCUCAACUGGGGGGAGUCUGCCCCCCACAGGGGACACUCGUGACAUCUACAGACAUUUGAGGUCAUCGCCACCCUGGACCGGUGCUGCUGGCCUUGCAGGGUGGGGGCAGGCUGCUGCUCAGUGUCCCACGGUGCCCAGGACAGGCUGGCAGCAAAGCGAAUGGGCCCACAGGCAGUCGUGCCAAGGCCGAGGAAGCCUGACAUCAGCAAACCAACCAGCCCAAAUGUAAGGCUCGUAGAUGGCGCCUGUUAGGGAGCGCUUGGUCAUUUUGUGGAAAGAUUUUUCAUUUUGCAACAAGAUCUGUCCUGGGAUUCCAUGAAAACAGGCCGCUCCCUCGAACAUGUCGAUGGCUCCAUUCUGGGAUCAUGUUUGCAUAUUUCCUGUGAUGUUCUUGUAGAGGGCGACUGCCCUAAACCCAAGGCAGCAGACACUUCAUCCCGUGACCUCAGGACGGGCAUCACAGCACCACACGGAUGGAGGCGCAGUGGGAACAGCACGGGCUGGGUUUGAUGUCACCACUUCUGCACCCCCUCGAGAAGCCACGAGCUCCUAGCUCAGUGACCCCCUCACACACAGGAUGAGGCUCGAUGCAGGCUCAUGGCAGGGCAGCUGCAGGCCCAGAAACCCCAAACAUUUGUGGCGAAGAAGGACCAGCCAGCAGAGCCUCUGGAGAGGACCUGAGGAAGGAUAGCCAUGCAGACCUUCAGGACUGAGAAGCCAAUCGAUGCUGUCCUCUGCAGAAAGAUUGGUCCCUGUGGGAAAACUAACCCUGGUUUCCUACUAGCCCCUGGUCAAGACUGACUGCCCAUCACAGGCCACCAGGUGACCACACCGCAGAAGCUGCCCCUGGUGAGCCCACCCUGCAGUGAGGCCCCAUGGGUACAGCGGCAGCCUGUCCUCUGGGGGUGGCAGGUAGGGCACGGAGCUCAGCAGGCCCGGAAGGCAUGAAGCCGGCCCAGAGGGCUCAGAAAAGUGGCACGAGCCUGGGACUGGGACCCACCGGCACCUCCCACGUGGAGUUGCCUCCCCACACCCAGAAGAUGCCCGGGGCACUGCAGCAAAACGGCUCGCCCAGCUGUGUUCUCACCCCCGCGUGCCCAGGCUGCAAGAGCAGACGACCUCAAAUCGAGGAGCCCCACCAAGAGCCUCUGUGGAGAAGUCACCUGCUUUCCUCGUGAGGCUGUGAAAAGGACACCUGUGCUUCCCAGGAUGUGCGGUCUUGGUGCUGGAGUGAUUUAAACACACUACUUCGGAAUGUUCUUUCUUCUCAUCUUUCUAUUACACUUUUAUUGAUCUGAAUUUCCUGGGUUGAAGGAGAAGAAAAAAAAAAAAACAGCCUCACUGAAGCCCAUUUUUCUUUUCUGAUUUCUACUUUUGUUGCCAUUCAUAUAAACAGAACACACAAGACAACGGCACAGAGGAUGAGGCAGGGACCACAGUGGGGAGCGCAGGCGUCAUUAGCUGUCACGGCUGCGAGGUGGCGUGGCAUCCACAGCAACUCUGCCUCCUCCAGGUGUCAUGUUAGGAACAAACGAAUCAGUUCCUGUUCCAAACAUUUUGAAGCACAGUGGGACCUAACGUCCUUGCAGGAAACAAUCAAGGGUUGGGGAUGGAUUCGCUGAGAAUCUUCCCUCUAAAUUAGUCUAGGCAGAGAAUGAUCCAAACAAUUUCUGGGUGCACGUUGCUUCGGUCUCUGGAAGGUUUACGACGUUGUGAGUUCAGUGGAAGCCGUCUCAUUAGAUGGGAAAGCUGGGCGUUCGUGCCAUCCCGUUGCCGAAUUCAGCUCCCAAGGUGUCUUGUUAAGUGGCGUCGCCUCGCCAGGGACUGGGGAUGUUCAGGCAGGAUGCUCAGAGCCAGGCUCUCGCUCACUGGGCAGGGCCCAGGCACACACACCUCUGGGUCACGCUCCAGUUGCAGGUUUAAAACCAAGCCCAGAGGGCUGGCAAGCUGCUUCUCUCCCAGGGAUGCUGGAAAGACGUUGCUAACAGGGUAAGGCUCCACCUUCCUGAAGAAGUAAGCAGAGGCCGGGGUUGUUCAGUGGUCACCAAGGACUGGGACCUGAGCUUCAAGAACUGCAGGGCCACAGGGUUGAGGGAGUGACAGAGCCUGGUGAGGCCAAGACACUGGGCUCCUAUGAUUCCUGGACAUUGAGUAAGGUCGUUCUGGAAGACCCUCAGCCAGGAGCAGCAGCCCCAAACCUCUCUUCCAGGACACUGCCCCACCAGAGCCAAGCGGAGGCUCUCAGGAGGUUGGGGGAUUUAUGGUGGCUUUUACUGACGUCAAGGAGAUCCCCGAACAAUAGAGACGAAGGGAUCCUCACAAUCACAGCUCCCAACUCAUGAAACCGCAGUGCAGGCUCUGCCUCAGGGCUGAACGGGAGAGAGGAGCAGAAUGAUUUUCCCACAGAGCGGGAGCCUCUUCUGGGGCACGUCCUGGUGGGAACAGGCCCCAGGCCUGGGCAGAGCAGGCAGAUGCAUCCGCCUCCUAUCCCAGCCACUGCUCCCAGAGCCCCCCUGCCGGUCCACCCGGCAAGCCCCCCUCCAGCCAUACCCGCCCUGGGCCCCACGCCCGUCCCGGCCCAGGCAGGAGUGGGCUCUCGUCAGCGAGUCCCAUUCCACACUUCACCCCUCACUGACAGCUCAGCUGCUCUGCAAAGGACAGCUGGCCUCGGGUCACCCUGCAACCGUCACAUUGUCCUUUGACCUUGCCUACAUGACGGCCCCAUUACUCCUUCUGUCGGAGAGAAACAGUCCUCAAACCCCGCCCCGCCUCCCCUCCUAGCCCUCCCGGCUCUGAAGGCUCUGGCUGAGCGGGGCGGGGCCCCACGGCUCAGACCGUGACAAAUGUCCAGCGAUCAAUGCAGCCCCUGGGGUCGGUGGCAAUUCCUGUCUUUCCUUCAGAUUGUUUUUCUGAUUGUCACUAUAGACACUUCUACAGAAGAUUUGAAAAACACAGAGGAGCUGAAGAAAAAUACAACUUCCGUGCGAAGCCCUCCUCCGAGUGCGGCCGCCAUGUUUCCCGGUGGCGUCUUCACGCGACUUCUUGCGGACGAUCUCGCCUGACGUCCCCGCCUUCCGGGGCGCACUGACUGGGACGCACGGCGCGGGGUGGUUCUCCAGGAGCCCGGCUCGGAGGUUUUUGGAGCUCGGGUCAGGGCUGUCUGCGGCCCUGGCGUCUGCUGAAGGCCCGGAGCCUCACUCCCUCCCGGGGACCCCGGGUUGCGCGGGCCCGGCUGCUCAGGGACCGUCAGGACGUCUUCAGGCCCGAGCCCUGUGCGCCGCUCUGGGGUGUGAGGGCCGGUGAGGGCCGGCGGUCAUGGGGCUGGUGAGGAGCCGGGUGCGGGCCGCAGCGGCCUCCAGGGCCAGGUCAGGGUCCGCCGGGCCCGAGUGAACCAGGCGGGCAGCAGAGGGAUGGGGCGCUUCCGGCCGCCCCACGCCGCCCCAGCCUGUGCCGGGAGCCAGCAGCCCAGGUUCGGGGUCAGAGAGGCCUCAUAAAGCCCGGGCUCCUGUGGUCUCCUCAUGCGGGAAGGUCCGGAGCCCGCUCCGACCAGCAUUCCCCGUGGAAGCGGCGGCCCUGAGCGGUGGGGGUCCCUGAGCUGGCCCCACAGUCUCUCCCAGGCCUGAGAGGGGCGUUUCUCUUGUCCUUGCCCCCUGCCUGACAGGCACUUCGGUUUUCAUCCUGCCCUGGAAACGCUCCCUCUGGAACCCGCCGGCCCCUGGCCCUGCGCUCAGCCCAGGGGUGCUGGCCCGGGAGCCAAGGUGGAGGCAGCGCGGGGCUCCAGAGGACGGACCGCAGACCUGGGCUGGGAGGCGCUGGCGAGCACGCAGUUCCUUCCGGCUCAUCCCAGCCUCACCUGCGGAGUCACCACAGCAGAAUAGAGUCAUAGCCCGGGUGUGGGGGUAGCGGGGAUGUUAAUCAUUUUAAAGAAUCACAGAUUUUGAGUCAUGCCAGGGGCUCUGGUGGAAAGGUCAUGGGGAGCCAGGCCUCCGCAUCUUAGCAUUUCAGCUGGAGGAUGACCGGGAGCUCUGGCGUGGCCCUAGACCUGGAACUGAACACCCAGGCGCAGCAGCAGGCAUUUCUCUUGCUUUUUCUUUAUGACUGACCUGGCCUGGCCACGUCCCCGUCAAUGCAGCUGGUUCUCAACGGACCCACUCUUCCCCAGGGCUCCGUUUACAACCAACCUGCUUGUCCUGCUGCACUUAGAGGCAGACCUGCUCCUCCUGAGAAUCCAGGAGGGGACUGAAGAGACCACGUUGCUUUCUGAUCUUUCUCAGGCCAGAGGAAGUUUGUGGGCCAAGUGAUAUUCCUAAUUCAAACUUUAUUAUGUAAUUACAGUACAAAACAUAUUAUUUUUCUCUUUAUUUUUCCUCUCUCGGUUAAUGGUAAAUUUUAUUGCAUAAAUAAAUUACACAUGCUGUAA